UGGGGAAUAUUGCACAAUGGGCGCAAGCCUGAUGCAGCAACGCCGCGUGAGGGACGACGGCCUUGGGUUGUAACCUCUUUUAGUAGGGAAGAAGCGAAAGUGACGGUACCUGCAGAAAAAGCACCGGCUAACUACGUGCC
rnacentral:rRNA from 1 species